rnacentral:rRNA from 1 species
GGUUAAGCGACUAAGCGUACACGGUGGAUGCCCUGGCAGUCAGAGGCGAUGAAGGACGUGCUAAUCUGCGAUAAGCGUCGGUAAGGUGAUAUGAACCGUUAUAACCGGCGAUUUCCGAAUGGGGAAACCCAGUGUGAUUCGUCACACUAUCAUUAACUGAAUCCAUAGGUUAAUGAGGCGAACCGGGGGAACUGAAACAUCUAAGUACCCCGAGGAAAAGAAAUCAACCGAGAUUCCCCCAGUAGCGGCGAGCGAACGGGGAGCAGCCCAGAGCCUGAAUCAGUGUGUGUGUUAGUGGAAGCGUCUGGAAAGGCGCGCGAUACAGGGUGACAGCCCCGUACACAAAAAUGCACAUACUGUGAGCUCGAUGAGUAGGGCGGGACACGUGGUAUCCUGUCUGAAUAUGGGGGGACCAUCCUCCAAGGCUAAAUACUCCUGACUGACCGAUAGUGAACCAGUACCGUGAGGGAAAGGCGAAAAGAACCCCGGCGAGGGGAGUGAAAAAGAACCUGAAACCGUGUACGUACAAGCAGUGGGAGCCUCUUUUAUGGGGUGACUGCGUACCUUUUGUAUAAUGGGUCAGCGACUUAUAUUCUGUAGCAAGGUUAACCGAAUAGGGGAGCCGAAGGGAAACCGAGUCUUAACUGGGCGUUAAGUUGCAGGGUAUAGACCCGAAACCCGGUGAUCUAGCCAUGGGCAGGUUGAAGGUUGGGUAACACUAACUGGAGGACCGAACCGACUAAUGUUGAAAAAUUAGCGGAUGACUUGUGGCUGGGGGUGAAAGGCCAAUCAAACCGGGAGAUAGCUGGUUCUCCCCGAAAGCUAUUUAGGUAGCGCCUCGUGAAUUCAUCUCCGGGGGUAGAGCACUGUUUCGGCAAGGGGGUCAUCCCGACUUACCAACCCGAUGCAAACUGCGAAUACCGGAGAAUGUUAUCACGGGAGACACACGGCGGGUGCUAACGUCCGUCGUGAAGAGGGAAACAACCCAGACCGCCAGCUAAGGUCCCAAAGUCAUGGUUAAGUGGGAAACGAUGUGGGAAGGCCCAGACAGCCAGGAUGUUGGCUUAGAAGCAGCCAUCAUUUAAAGAAAGCGUAAUAGCUCACUGGUCGAGUCGGCCUGCGCGGAAGAUGUAACGGGGCUAAACCAUGCACCGAAGCUGCGGCAGCGACGCUGAUGCGUUGUUGGGUAGGGGAGCGUUCUGUAAGCCUGUGAAGGUGUACUGUGAGGUAUGCUGGAGGUAUCAGAAGUGCGAAUGCUGACAUAAGUAACGAUAAAGCGGGUGAAAAGCCCGCUCGCCGGAAGACCAAGGGUUCCUGUCCAACGUUAAUCGGGGCAGGGUGAGUCGACCCCUAAGGCGAGGCCGAAAGGCGUAGUCGAUGGGAAACAGGUUAAUAUUCCUGUACUUGGUGUUACUGCGAAGGGGGGACGGAGAAGGCUAUGUUGGCCGGGCGACGGUUGUCCCGGUUUAAGCGUGUAGGCUGGUUUUCCAGGCAAAUCCGGAAAAUCAAGGCUGAGGCGUGAUGACGAGGCACUACGGUGCUGAAGCAACAAAUGCCCUGCUUCCAGGAAAAGCCUCUAAGCAUCAGGUAACAUCAAAUCGUACCCCAAACCGACACAGGUGGUCAGGUAGAGAAUACCAAGGCGCUUGAGAGAACUCGGGUGAAGGAACUAGGCAAAAUGGUGCCGUAACUUCGGGAGAAGGCACGCUGAUAUGUAGGUGAAGUCCCUCGCGGAUGGAGCUGAAAUCAGUCGAAGAUACCAGCUGGCUGCAACUGUUUAUUAAAAACACAGCACUGUGCAAACACGAAAGUGGACGUAUACGGUGUGACGCCUGCCCGGUGCCGGAAGGUUAAUUGAUGGGGUUAGCGCAAGCGAAGCUCUUGAUCGAAGCCCCGGUAAACGGCGGCCGUAACUAUAACGGUCCUAAGGUAGCGAAAUUCCUUGUCGGGUAAGUUCCGACCUGCACGAAUGGCGUAAUGAUGGCCAGGCUGUCUCCACCCGAGACUCAGUGAAAUUGAACUCGCUGUGAAGAUGCAGUGUACCCGCGGCAAGACGGAAAGACCCCGUGAACCUUUACUAUAGCUUGACACUGAACAUUGAGCCUUGAUGUGUAGGAUAGGUGGGAGGCUUAGAAGUGUGGACGCCAGUCUGCAUGGAGCCGACCUUGAAAUACCACCCUUUAAUGUUUGAUGUUCUAACGUUGACCCGUAAUCCGGGUUGCGGACAGUGUCUGGUGGGUAGUUUGACUGGGGCGGUCUCCUCCUAAAGAGUAACGGAGGAGCACGAAGGUUGGCUAAUCCUGGUCGGACAUCAGGAGGUUAGUGCAAUGGCAUAAGCCAGCUUGACUGCGAGCGUGACGGCGCGAGCAGGUGCGAAAGCAGGUCAUAGUGAUCCGGUGGUUCUGAAUGGAAGGGCCAUCGCUCAACGGAUAAAAGGUACUCCGGGGAUAACAGGCUGAUACCGCCCAAGAGUUCAUAUCGACGGCGGUGUUUGGCACCUCGAUGUCGGCUCAUCACAUCCUGGGGCUGAAGUAGGUCCCAAGGGUAUGGCUGUUCGCCAUUUAAAGUGGUACGCGAGCUGGGUUUAGAACGUCGUGAGACAGUUCGGUCCCUAUCUGCCGUGGGCGCUGGAGAACUGAGGGGGGCUGCUCCUAGUACGAGAGGACCGGAGUGGACGCAUCACUGGUGUUCGGGUUGUCAUGCCAAUGGCACUGCCCGGUAGCUAAAUGCGGAAGAGAUAAGUGCUGAAAGCAUCUAAGCACGAAACUUGCCCCGAGAUGAGUUCUCCCUGACUCCUUGAGAGUCCUGAAGGAACGUUGAAGACGACGACGUUGAUAGGCCGGGUGUGUAAGCGCAGCGAUGCGUUGAGCUAACCGGUACUAAUGAACCGUGAGGCUUAACCUU